rnacentral:lncRNA from 1 species
AGUGAGGUGAGGUGAGGUUCCUGGUUCCACUGUUCCAAGGAAAGACAACAGAGGAACAGCUAUGGAGCCAGUGCUCAGUGGGCAGGAUGGGGCGGAGGGUGAUCCCACUUUUCUUCCAGGUGAACCUUAAUCAUUUCAAGUUUCGAAUAGAUAGAAACUUGUCCCAUUUUGUUACACAGAGCAGGCUCUCAAACCAGCAUUACAAACAUGUCACACCAGGGAAGAGGAGCCUCAGGCCCAGGGACUAAAUGUGGCUCUGAAGACUUUCUAUAUGGCCCUUGGGAUGUAUAUGGAUGUUUUUAGUAGUGAGGUAUAAAGAAAAUGUUAUUUUCCUCAUAUCUCCCUGGGCAAUGCUAGAUGGAAAUUGGCUCUGUUGGGCUUUGAAAUGAAACCAUCCCAUGGACUCCCCCAUGGGAAAGACCACGUUCCAGCUAACUCAGAUAAUGAAGGAAUCCUAUUUGUGUUACAGCAGGGUCUCUCCAGACUGUUGCACAUGAACCUCUGCUCAUCCAAGGGGAAAGCAAGAGCAAUGGGCAUUCUUGGGCAGCCAAUCACUAAUAGUAACCAGCAGGAUCCUGUGCAACACACCUCACAAUUGUCUGAAAUGAAUGCACUAUCCUGGGGUGGGGGACCCCAGCAUUUAGCAAAUUUGCAGAUAUAAGGAAAUUCAAUAUCUCUACAACAGAAGCCCAGUUUUGUGUGUGCGUGUUUGGAGUGGGGAGACUUGGCCUCUUCAGCUGUGUGAAGAAAUUGAGAAAUCCUAAAUCACAAACCCUCUUACCACUUUCUCAGCCGCACAGGGAAACCAAGGUAUGAUUCGUAAACCAGCACUCGUGGACCACCUGAAGUCUCGCCUGUGAUUUAUAUAGGAAAGAGGAGGAAUGGUGAACACUGAAGCUACUUUUUUGAGUUAAGUACCACCAAGAAUGCAACAUCUUAUUGCUGCACAAGGGAUAAUUCUGUUGAUAGAAAAUAAAAAAAUCUGUUUAUUUACUAUGCAAGACAACUCACCAUUAUGAUGGUCCUUUAACAUUGUCAACCUGAUCCCAAAGGUUCCAGAGCAUAGUAACCCACCCAGAGAAUUCCCUUCUGAACCUCGGUUAGCAGGUUUGAAAACAUGCAAAAGGAUUUCUGGCAAAGAAUAAAAACUAUAUUUUUUUGUGGCGCUGUUCACUGACAGAAAGAGCACUCAGAUUGCUUUCUUUUCUUUUUUUGCCAGAAAGAAAAUAUUGCAAUGCUUUCUUUUCUUUUUUUGCCAGAGAGAAAAUAUUGCAAGGCAGAGAACACCCCCAAUGGCUUCUUUGUAGGGAUUUAUUUUAUUUUAUUUUUUUUAAUAAUUUUUGAUUAAGUUUUUAAACAAACAAAAAAGAAAAACAACACACACAAAAAACAAUACAAAACUUAACAAUAUAAACACAAAACAAUUAAUAACGAACUCUCUUUUCCAUUACCAAUUUUAAGUUACUUAUUUUCUGGACUUCCUCAUACCUCCCUCUUUUGUAUUCCAAUCCACAUUUAUUUAUCCAGCAGUUUCUUUUCCACUUUUUAAUCCCAAUCUUUAAUUUAAUAAAAUGUUAAAAUAUAUAACUUCAACUCUUUUAAACCUAAUCCUUGAUCUUAAUAUCCUGUAACUUUAAAGUUUUCCCUUUUAAAAUCAAAUUUCCAUUUCUUUAAACUUCUUUAAUCUUAAUCUUUAAUCUUAAUCUAUCCUUAACUUUAACCUAUGCAGCUGGAAACCACUUAUUUUCAGUCCAACAUCACUCUAACAUUCCUUAAUUUUGCAGUGUUUCUGAAGAUAGUCUUUGAAUUUCUUCCAGUCUUCCUCCAUCGACUCUUCUCCCUGGUCACGGAUUCUGCCAGUCAUUUCCGCCAAUUCCAUAUAGUCCAUAAGUUUCAUCUGCCAUUCCUCCAGCGUGGGAAGUUCUUGUGUCUUCCAAUACUUUGUGAUGAGUAUUCUUGCUGCUGUUGUUGCAUACAUAAAGAAAGUUCUAUCCUUUUUUAACACCAUUUGGCCCACUAUGCCCAGGAGAAAGGCCUCUGGUUUCUUAGGGAAGGUAUACUUAAAUACCUUUUUUAAUUCAUUAUAUAUCAUUUCCCAGAAAGCCUUAAUCUUUGGGCACGUCCACCAAAGGUGAAAAAAUGUACCUUCAAUUUCUUUACAUUUCCAACAUUUGUUAUCGGGCAAGUGAUAGAUUUUCGCAAGCUUGACUGGGGUUAUGUACCACCUGUAUAUCAUUUUCAUAAUAUUCUCUCUUAAGGCAUUACAUGCCGUAAAUUUCAUACCUGUGGUCCAUAACUGUUCCCAGUCAGCAAACAUAAUGUUAUGACCAACGUCCUGUGCCCAUUUAAUCAUAGCCGAUUUUACCGUUUCAUCUUGAGUAUUCCAUUUCAGCAGCAAGUUAUACAUUCUUGACAAAUUCUUAGUAUUGGGUUCUAACAAUUCUGUUUCUAAUUUGGAUCUUUCCACCUGGAAGCCAAUUUUCCUGUCCAAUUUAAAUACCUCCAUUAUUUGAUAAUAAUGAAGCCAGUCUCGCACGUGGUUUUUUCGUUUUUCAAAACUCUGCAAUUUCAGUCUAUCUCCGUCUUGUUCCAAAAUUUCCCAAUAUUUCGGCCAUUUGACCUCCAUAUUGACCUUUUUCAAGGCUUUCGCUUCCAUUGGUGACAGCCACCUUGGGGUUUUAUUUUCUAACAAAUCCUUAUAUCUUAUCCAAACAUUAAACAGCGCUUUCCUGACAAUGUGGUUUUUAAAUGCUUUAUGUGCUUUGACCUUAUCAUGCCAUAAAUAUGCAUGCCAUCCAAAUACAUUAUUAAAACCUUCUAGAUCCAAAAUGUCAGUGUUUUCAAGAAGUAGCCAUUCUUUCAACCAGCAAAAGGCUGCUGAUUCAUAGUACAGUUUAAGGUCUGGCAGGGCAAAUCCACCUCUUUCCUUUGCAUCCGUUAAUAUUUUAAAUUUUAUUCUGGGUUUCUUGCCCUGCCAGACAAAUUUAGAAAUAUCUUUCUGCCACCUCUUGAAACAAUCCAUUUUGUCCACAAUCUGCAAAGUUUGAAACAAAAACAACAUUCUGGGCAAUACAUUCAUCUUUAUCGCAGCAAUACGGCCUAGCAGUGAAAGCUUCAAAUUUGACCAAAUUUCUAAAUCUUUUUUCACUUCUGACCAACAUUUUUCAUAGUUAUCUUUAAAUAAGUUCCCAUUUUUUGCUGUCAUGUUAAUCCCCAAGUAUUUAACUUUCUUAACCACUGUUAAACCUGUCUCAUUCUGAAACCUCUCUCUUUCAAACGGUGUAAAAUUUUUCUCUAAAACCUUGGUUUUUGACUUGUUCAAUUUAAAUCCUGCCACUUGACCAAAUUCUUGAAUCAGUUCUAAAACCCUUUUAGUACUAGAUUCUGGCUCCUGUAACGUCAAUACUAAGUCAUCUGCAAAUGCUCUCAAUUUAUAGUGUUUAGUUCCGACCUGUAUACCUUUAACCAUCUGGUCCUUUCUAAUCAUAUUCAGCAGAACCUCCAGGACCGAAAUAAAAAGAAGUGGGGAAAUUGGGCAACCUUGUCGUGUCCCUUUUUCAAUUUUCAGUUCUUCCGUCAUGUGAUGGGAUUAUGAGCUGCUUGUGCGUAAAAUCGUAUUCCCUCAGAGUUUGUUCAAGUCCACAAACCUCUGUCUGUGACUGAGCCCCUCUGACAUGGCUCCUCUAGUCACUAGAAGAUUCCGACAGUGGUUGCUUUCGUAAUCGCUUCCAACAUAAAAGCUCCUUAACGGAAACACGUCUUCUGGACUCUCUGCGUGACAGUUUCCGGCGAGGAGUGGGUGUCGCUACAGGAGGUCCGGAAACCUCACCACUGUUUUCGCUGGAAGUAUCUCUGAGCCAUCCCCCAGCUCCCUUUCCCUCAGUUCAGCUUCUCUCCCCUACUGGUUUCCUGUUCCGCUGCUGAGUCUCUUCCAACCUGUCUGAGCCCUUUCACCUCCCUCAGUUCAGCUUCUCUCCCUUGCUGGUUCCCUCUUCAGCUGCUGAAUCUCUUCCAACCUGUCUGAGUCCUUUCACCUCCCUUCCUUCCGAUGGCAGUUCCCUGACAUCCACCUCCCCUCCAGGGCCCCCUUCACCCCCUCUCGCCCCCUCCUCUACGGGCGGUGAGGAGGCAAAACCCGGAAUGAACUUCCUUCAUCUUCCGAUGUCUCGAACACUUCUCUCCACCUGUUGCGGUUCCUGGUCUCGAAGCACUCCUCCUCCUCCGAGUCCAUCUCCCCUUCCCCUUCCGAUUCUGGGAAUCCUUCCAACUCCUCCUCCUCCUCAGUGGUCCCAAAGUAUUCCCUCCGGAACCUCUCCACAGGCUGAGGUUUCCGCGGGAACCUUUGAUGGAACAUUUCUAUCAAUACCUCGUCAUUGAUAUCUUUGGCCAUUACCCACGUGUUUUCUGACUCCGGUUCUCCUUCCCACGCUACCAAAUACUCCACCUGAUUCCCCUUCCACCUGGCAUCAAGGAUUUCUGCCACAUGACUGCUGCAUUCUCUUUCUUCUAUGACCGGUCCCGAGUGGCCAUCCCUUCUCGUCCCCUCGUACGGUGACAGUAACGACCUGUGAAAUACUGGGUGCAGUUUCAUGUGGUUGGGUAACCGGAGCCUGAAAGCCACUGGGUUGACCUGUUGAAUGACCUCAAAGGGACCCAACCUCCUGGGUCGUAAUUUCUUACAACCUCCUUUGAACGGCACCCCUCGGGUUGACAGCCACACCCUAUCUCCAACCCUUAUGGUUUCACCUUCCCUUCGGUUCUUGUCUGCCUGCCUCUUGUAUUCUUCCUUCGCCCUUUCUAAGUUGAGUUGGAGCUGACGGUGGAUUGCUUCCAUUUCUUCUACAAAAUGCUCGGCUGCCGGUACGUUCCAUCUCUCCCCUUCUCCCCCUGGGAAAGCCCUGGGAUGACACCCAUAAUUAGCCAAGAAGGGGCUCAUCCCUGUGGACACAUUCUCGGCAUUGUUGUAGGCAAAUUCCGCCAGCGCCAACUUUUCUACCCAGUCAUUCUCUCUGUCAUUGACAUAACACCUCAGGUAUUGCUGGAGGACACCGUUUGCUCUUUCCGCCUGCCCGUUGGUUUCAGGGUGCCGGGCAGUCGAAAGUUGACCUCCACCUGCAGUAAGCUCAUGAGCUUCCUCCAGAACCUGGAAGUAAAUUGUUUUCCUCGGUCUGAGACCACCCUCAAUGGCACCCCGUGCAACCUAAAAAUGUGUUCUACAAAUAACUUCGCUGUCUCUUCCGCCGUGACUGCAUGCGAGCAAGCUACAAAGUGGCACAUCUUUGUUAGUAGGUCUACCACCACCAUGAUGGCUGUUUUCCCUUUGGACUUCGGCAGAUCAGUCAUAAAAUCUAUCGACACUGCCUCCCAAGGUCGUUCUGGUGUUGGUAAGGGUUCUAAUAGCCCCGCCGGCGCCCGCCUUUCCCCUUUGGCUCGCUGGCACUGCUCGCACCCUCUUACAUACUCACGUACAUCCUCCCUCACCUUAGGCCACCAAAAUUCCCUGGUGACCAACCACAUGGUUUUGUGUUGCCCAAAAUGCCCGCCGUGGGGCUGUCAUGCAACUGCUUGAGUACCCUCCCCUUAAGUCUCCUUCAGGGAUAUACAGUGCCCCUUUGUAAUACAAAGCUCCAUUUCUUUCCUCGAAACCCCUUGAUUCCUCUCCCUCAUCCCUAAGACCUCUGAGCUUAUUCUGGGCGUAUUCAUCAUUCUCUGUUUCUUCUACCAGUUCUCUUUGUCCCACCAAUGCCGCCCCACACACCCAGCGGUCCUCUGGAAUGACAUGUCUCUCUUCGGGUGCUCCCUCCCCUCCCAAUAUUCAGGUUUGCGUGAGAGAGCGUCCGCCCUAAUGUUCUCUGGGCCUGGCACGUAACAAAUCUCAAAGUUAAAUUUGGAGAAUUCCUGGGCCCAUCUCACUUGCCGUUGGUUGAGCACUCGUGCCGUCCUCCAAUACUCUAGGUUCUUGUGGUCAGUGCACACUUGCACCUUAUGUUGUGCGCCAAUUAGCAGGUGCCUCCAUCUCCGGAACGCCUCAUGAAUGGCUAGUAGUUCUCGGUCAUACACCGUGUAGUUCCUCUCGGAUUUGUUCAGCUUUCGCGAAAAAAAGCACACGGUCUCCACUCUGACUCCUCCUUCCCUGGCUGGAGAAGCACCGCCCCAACCGCUCUGUCUGAUGCGUCAGUUUCCACUCUCAUCGGUUUUUGUAAAUCCACAUGCAGGAGCUGUUGUUCCGAGGCGAAGGCCCUUUUAGUUCCUCAAAUGCUUGCUCCGCCUCCUCCGUCCAAACGAACUUCUUCUUACUGCUGAGACAGUCCGUAAUGGGCGCCGUCAGGUGGGCAAAGUUUGGGAUGAACUUACGAUAGAAGUUCCCAAACCCUAAAAACCUCUGCACAUCCUUCCUUGUUUUGGGUGUUUUCCAUUCCAGUACCGCCUGGACCUUGUCGGGAUCCAUGGCCAACCCCUUGUCAGACAGGCGAUACCCCAGGAAUUCCACCUCCUUGGUAUGAAACUGACACUUCUCCAGUUUCACCCACAGCUGGUUGGCUUGCAGCCUGCUCAACACUUCUCUGACGUCUCUCACAUGCUGCUCCUCAUUCUCAGAAUACACCAACACGUCGUCUAAAAAGGCCACACAAUUCUUGUAAAGCAACGGCCCCAGGACGUGGUUCAUAAACGAUUGAAAUGUUGCGGAGCCUGCUUGUAGACCGAAGGGCAUAACUAAGUAUUCAAAUGCCCCUAAAGGGGUGAACAUGGUGGUUUUCCAUUCAUCCCCCUUCCUUAUUCUUAUCAGGUUGUACGCCCCCCUUAGAUCCAGCUUGGUAAAAAUCUUUCCCUUCCGCACCCUUGUCAAAAUGUCGUCAAUCCUGGGCAUCGGGAAGGCCACUGGUUCUGACACUGCAUUUAAGGCCCUGAAGUCACACACCAGUCUCGGCUUGUUCGUGUUUUUUUGUCCACAAAAACACUGGGCUGCCCCCCACCGCCCUGGACUCUCUGAUGAACCCUCUCUUCAGGUUCUUGUCAAUGAACUCUCUUAGCUCCUGCAUCUCUCUGUCUGACAUGGCGUACAGCUUGCCUACAGGGAGCUGUGCCCCAGGGAGCAAAUUGAUUUGACAGUCAAAGGCUCUAUGCGGUGGUAGUUGGUCAGCUUCCCUUUCGCUGAAAACGUCGCGGAGAUCUGCGUAUUGUCGUGGUACCUUCACGUUCUCCGUCACUUCAGUCCCUGCUAGAGUGGCUUGGGCCCCUGCCAAAACCCUUCCCUCUUUGCAAUGUUCUAAGCAAUGUGCUGACCCAAAAGAAACCACUCUUUGAUGCCAGCCCACCAGCGGAUCAUGUAACGCUAGCCAGCUCAUCCCCAAUAUAAUGGGAGCUCCUCCCAAGGUGGCCACAUUAAAUGCUAUUAGUUCGGUGUGCCUUGCCACCUUCAUUAUCAUUGGGACGGUCUGCAAGCUGACUUCUCCUCCCAACAGCUCCCUGCCAUCGAUCGUGGUUACCUGCAGGGGGUUGCUUAAAGGGAGCGUCUGUAUCUGGUGUUCAGCUGCAAACUCUUUGCUCAUGAAAUUGCAGGAGCUGCCUGAGUCCAACAGCGCCUUUAUCUUUAGAGGGUGUCCGUUUGGCAGCUCUAGUGUCACUUCUAUCACUAGGGCGGGUUUAGGAGGUUCUGGAGUGGGCACUUUCACUGCUCUUUGGCCUGGCUGCUGUGCCCGACAAUGGCAGCCAGGCGUUGGCUUUUAGUUGCUCCGGUAUUUUUCCUCUCUUCCCUCCACAGCUCCCACCAUCCCUUGCCAUUCCUUCCUCUGGGGGCAGACUCUGGCAAAGUGCCCUGGCUGUUGGCAGAGAUAGCAUUUCCGGGCGCCUUUUCCAUCCUUCUUCCCCCCUCACUGGGCUUUGAAACUGCGCGCGCGCGCGCUGUUCCGAUUUCCAUCGGCUCUGCCGGCGGGACAGUUGGCUCUGGAAUGUCUGGAAUGCGGAACUCCUUCCAACGUUCCCCUUUCCCUUCCCGCCUCUCCAAUGCUCUCGCCUCCUGGCGCGCUCCUAUGGCCAGCGCUGAUUUGGUCAGCUGGUCCAUAGACUCCGCCCUGGGCGCCCGGGAAAGUUCAUCUUUCACAGCCGAAGAAAGCCCUUCUUCAAAGAGCAUUUGAAUGGGUUCCGCCGAUAAGUCCCACCCCAAUCUGUGUAUCAGCAUGGUGAACUCAGUCCAGUACUCACGUACAGAUCGGCUCCCCUGUUUGCAAGCCAUUAACUGUCUGCGCACCACUCCCUUUUCAAUAUCGCUGGAAAACAUCAAAUCCAUGGCGCGAAAGAACUUCAUUGUGUCCUUUAGGACGUCACUAUGCGCUGCCAUCAGGGGUCUCACCCAGUCUCUCGCCCCCUUUUCAAGAUGCCCAAUCACAAAAGCCACUCGUGAUUCCUCAUCAGGGAAAUCAUCAAACUGCAGAUUGAGGGCAUAUUGCAUUUCUGUCCGAAAGCUAUGAUAGUCUUUGGGCUCCCCCCCAAAUUUCUGCACCAAUCCUGGUACCUUUCUGGCGAGCUGGGUGGCUUUCUCCCUUUGUCUGCAUCUUGCGCCCUCCUCUCCUCCAGCCUCGCCGUCUGCAGCGCCAGCUGGACCUCCAACACCCGGUACCUUUCUUCCAGGCUUGGACCCGCUCCAGCCCCUGCUUCUCCGGUUCCUGCUGGGUUGCUCAUUAUGCCUUCUCCUGCACAAGCUGCGUUCAAAGACUGUCGGAAUGCUGUGAUGGGAUUAUGAGCUGCUUGUGCGUAAAAUCGUAUUCCCUCAGAGUUUGUUCAAGUCCACAAACCUCUGUCUGUGACUGAGCCCCUCUGACAUGGCUCCUCUAGUCACUAGAAGAUUCCGACAGUGGUUGCUUUCGUAAUCGCUUCCAACAUAAAAGCUCCUUAACGGAAACACGUCUUCUGGACUCUCUGCGUGACAGUUUCCGGCGAGGAGUGGGUGUCGCUACAGGAGGUCCGGAAACCUCACCACUGUUUUCGCUGGAAGUAUCUCUGAGCCAUCCCCCCAGCUCCCUUUCCCUCAGUUCAGCUUCUCUCCCCUACUGGUUUCCUGUUCCGCUGCUGAGUCUCUUCCAACCUGUCUGAGCCCUUUCACCUCCCUCAGUUCAGCUUCUCUCCCCUUGCUGGUUCCCUCUUCAGCUGCUGAAUCUCUUCCAACCUGUCUGAGUCCUUUCACCUCCCUUCCUUCCGAUGGCAGUUCCCUGACACGUCACAACGUUAUUUACAAUUAGUUUAGCCUUUUGUUCUGAAUAAAUUGCACUUAUACCAUUCUCAAAACCUUGGCCUACCCCCAUACCCUGAAGAUUCUUCUUCAUAAAAUUCCAAGAAAUAUUGUCAAAGGCUUUCUCCGUGUCUACAAAUAUCAACACUGCUUUAGUGUUUAUAUUCACUUCUAAUUUCUCCAAAAUAUCAAUUAUAUUCCUCAAAUUAUCAGACAAAUGUAUUCCUGGGAGAAAGCCCGCUUGGUCUUUAUGAAUCUCUUCCAACAGCACUUUUUUAAAUCUCUUAGCCAAAAUAUCUGCAAAAAUUUUGUAAUCCACAUUAAGUAAUGAUAUAGGGCGGUAGUUCUUAAGUUGUGUCUUUUCAAUCUCUGUUUUUGGUACAAGUGUAAUAUAUGCUUCUUUCCACGACUCUGGUGCCCUCUUCCCCUCCAUAAUUUCGUUGCAGACCUCUUUCAAAGGUUGAAUUAGCCAUUCUUUUAAAGAUCUGUAGUAUCUAGAGGUCAAACCGUCUGGUCCUGGAGAUUUACCCAAUUGCAUAUUUUGAAUGGCACCUUCUAAUUCCUGUUCAGUUAUUCUGUCAUUCAAAAUUAGUCUCUUUUCUUGAGAUAUUUUUGUAGUCCAUUUGUUUUCAAAAAUUGGUCUAAAUCUGUUUCUUUCACUGGCCCUUGAGUAUAUAGUCUUUUAAAAUACUUCUGGAAACAACUUCUAAUCUCCGCAGGGUUCUGUAUAUUCCUUCCUUCCACUUCCGCAGAUUCACUUGCUUUUCCUUCAAAUCUAUCACAGACAGGGUUAGUUAUUGGUCUUCCAAUUGUUUGUGCAGUGUUGGUAAUUCCUCUUGAACCUCUUUAACUUCAGUAGCAGAAGUUGUAGCAAUUUCUUUAGCCUCUUCAGCAAUCUGGCGUAUUGAGGCCGAUUCUCUAAUAAUUUCUGCAUAGUCUCUGUGUUAGUAUUUACUUUUUGGCCCAAAUUAUUUAUACUUGCUGUAUUCUGGUUAAUACUUGCUGUAUUCUGGUUAAUACUUGCUGUAUUCUGGUUAAUACUUAUUGUAUUUUGAUCAAUCUUAUCAGAUGCCUCUGCUACUUGUUGACUUAUUCUAUUCAAAGAUUCAUUAACUUUGGCCAAAACUUGAGCAAAGGAUUCCUCACUUGUUGUGCUUUUUACCUUUAAUUGUGCCGAUGAGGCUAUUGUUGAGGUUCCAGAAGGGCCUGAGGCCGAAGAUCUCCUUUGUAAUCCUUCUUCUGUGCGAAGAGGCCUCCCCGAUCUUGUAGUCGAAGCAUCCGCCUUCUCUUUCCCAUCUGCCAUUCCUUAGAUAAUGCCAAGGUCAGUCACGUAUUUGAAAUUGAACAGUGGAAAUUUCCUGCCAAGCAGUGUGAGAACUCCUCGAGUCUGCUACAGUUUCAGUUGUAACAAAUUGUAACAGUUCCAAGUUCCACUAGGGGGACACUGUAACAGUCAUAAAAGUUCUUGGAUACUUUAAUUUCUUUUUUUUUUUUUUAAGCCCCCCUAGUUUAUUCAAGACGAAAACAGUCUAUUCACAAUUUUUAACUUAGGACCAGGAGAUAUAUAUUCACAUAAAUUGUCCAAACUUUUAUUUCUUGUGCAGGACUAGCUGUCAAAAUAUAUUACAAGACAGUACCUCUCUUUCUUUCCUGAGAUCUGGAGAUCCUUUCCCAGGGAAUUGAGUGGUGGUUCGAUCCCUUCUUUUCCACUCUUUAUGAAGAAAUCACAUCCACAAUUCUCCCCCCUUUUCCCUCAAUUUAAAAAGGGAAAAGUCCAGGUUGGAUGAUUGGAUUAAAGUCCGCUAAAACGUACUUUUCAAUUGUUUCCGCUUUCAAGUUCAAUGCUUUAUUUUAUCUACAAAGAAAGAGGCUGACUUCCUUUUUAAACCUCUUUCCGUUUUCGGCCAGAUUCCAGUUUUGUACAGUUCCAAUUUUAAUUGUAUCCUACUCACGGAUCGUUGAUUUUCAGGUCCGGAUUUUAAGGAAGAAAGGCAGCGCUCUCCGAUCAACAG